UGUGGUGUAGCUCGUGGCACAGCAUGUGUUUGGCAUGCCCAAGGCCCUGGGUUCCAUCCCCAGCACUGCAA
rnacentral:tRNA from 1 species